CAAGCUCUAGAUCCAAAGAAAACAAAGCAAUGGUGUAAAGUUUGAUAAAACACAGAUGACUGGAUCACACAAUCCAGCUAAUUCUGUUUUACACUUGAGGAACUGAAAAUCAAAGUGAUAUUUUACCAAAGGUAUCACCUAUUGAAAGUGGCAGACUUAGGAUCAGAUUUUUUUUUUUGAAGUGAGGGUUUUUAAUAUAUUUUUCUUUCACACAGACAAAACAACAAUAGGUGAGGGUGGCUAUAACACAGCGGGCAGGUGGAAGAGUGCUAGAAGAUGAAGUCAGGAAAUGGGGUGUGAGUUUGUUGUCCUUGAUAAGGGCUUUGAUUUCAUUUCUUAGAGAAGACGACAUUUAAGGAUUCUGGGCAGAAGACUGACAUGAUUUAACUUUUAUUCUAAGAAGAUCAUUCAGAAGAAGACUAUGUAUUGCUGUGUUCAACAUACAAUCAAUAGCAUUUGCUGACAGAUCCAUUACUGAGAUAUGAGAGAUGAAAGAAGAUACCUAAAAGAUCUCUGGUUUAAACAACUACGAGAAUGGACAUAUAGAAGGCUCAGAGUAGUUGACAAUUCCUUCUCUUCAUCUGCUACCUGGGGGAAGCUCUCUGCCAAACAGGACUUAUAUUCUUCAUGUGUCGUCCGAUCAAACAUGUCUUCCAAGCUAUCAUUCAUCUUUCUUUCUCCAUCUAUGUGAAAGAGCAUCGGCUUAGGCCACAAGCAUUUAAACCUAAUGUAUUAGCUUUGAUAUACAAGCAUCAUCUCUCAAGUCCAGGAAAAGGACUGCUGCCAAGGAAGAGAGAACUGUAUGUUACCAAAAUCCCUGGAGCUUCCUUUCCUCCCUAAUCUGCUUCACAGAAAUGAACAUCAAUGUACACUGAAAAGUUCGUAAGUCAAAUUUGACUUCUUGAUGGCUAUGGAUUACUCUAGCAACUGUUAAAUAUUUUAUUAAUAUGCUACCAUGUGCAAGAGAACUUCUCAAACUAUGUAGAACCUAAAUACAAGCCAAAAAAGUAAUUUCUGCUAUGAAUGUUAACUAAAAAGAAAAUACACAGCAUUUAAAGAA